UACGUAGGGGGCAAGCGUUGUCCGGAUUUAUUGGGCGUAAAGAGCGUGUAGGCGGUCAGGUAGGUCCGUUGUGAAAACUCGAGGCUCAACCUCGAGACGCCGAUGGAAACCAUCUGACUAGAGUCCGGAAGAGGAGAGUGGAAUUCCUGGUGUAGCGGUGAAAUGCGCAGAUAUCAGGAGGAACACCGGUGGCGAAGGCGGGUCUCUGGGCAGUGAACUGACGCUGAGGAGCGAAAGCGUGGGGAGCGAACAGGA
rnacentral:rRNA from 1 species